GAUGAACGCUGGCGGCGUGCCUAACACAUGCAAGUCGAACGAACCUAAUCUUCGGAAAGGGUUAGUGGCGCACGGGUGAGUAACACGUAGGUGACCUGCCCUGGAGUGGGGGAUAACUUCUCGAAAGAGAGGCUAAUACCGCAUAUGCUCGGCCAUUCAGUUGGUCGAGUAAAGCUCCGGCGCUCCAGGAGGGGCCUGCGUCCGAUUAGCUAGUUGGUGGGGUAAUGGCUCACCAAGGCUAUGAUCGGUAGCUGGUCUGAGAGGACGAUCAGCCACACUGGCACUGACACACGGGCCAGACUCCUACGGGAGGCAGCAGUGAGGAAUAUUGGUCAAUGGGCGAAAGCCUGAACCAGCAACGCCGCGUGAGGGAUGAAGGCCUUCGGGUCGGUAAACCUCUUUUCUGGGAGAAGAGACAAGGACGGUAUCCCAGGAAUAAAGUCUCGGCUAACUACGUGCCAGCAGCCGCGGUAAU
rnacentral:rRNA from 1 species